UCUGCUUGAAGAUAUAAGAAGUCUAGCCUGCUCUCUGAUAAUUUUAAGGGCCGCGGUAAUUUGACCGUGCAAAGGUAGCAUAAUAGUUAGUUUUUUAAUUGAAAUCUUGUAUGAAUGGUUGGACAAAAGAAAUACUGUCUCUAUAAUUAUUUUUGAAUUUAACUUUUAAGUGAAAAGGCUUAAAUAUUUUAAAAAGACGAUAAGACCCUAUAAAGCUUUAUAAGAAGUCUAUAUUUAGUUGAAAUAAAUAAUAAAAUUUUGAUAUGUGCUCUUAUUUUAUUGGGGAGAUAAGAUUAUAAAUUAAUAUAACUAAGUUUUAUUAAAACAGAAAUAAAUGUUUAUAGAAAUAUAAAAGAUCCUUUUUAUGGAUUUUAAGUUUAAGUUACUUUAGGGAUAACAGCGUUAUUUCUCUUAAGAGUUCAUAUCGAAAGAGGAGAUUGCGACCUCGAUGUUGAAUUAAAAUUUCUAGAUUAUUGCAGAAGUAGUCUUAGAAGGUCUGUUCGACCUUUAAAUUUUUACA
rnacentral:rRNA from 1 species